AAACAAAAACACAAACCUCCUCUCUCAUUCCCUCAUCUCACAUCUCAGUUCAUCAACAACAUAAAAACCUCUCAAUAACAUCAUAAAAAUAAUCACAAUAUAACUACCACCGCUUUAUCUUUUCCGACGAUAACUGAACACCAGCAUUUGCUUCACACAGUCGUGCAACAACAACAUUCGACGACAACACCAUCAUAUGUUCUGUCCACUGUUGUUAU
rnacentral:lncRNA from 1 species